rnacentral:rRNA from 1 species
UACGGAGGGUGCGAGCGUUGUCCGGAAUCACUGGGCGUAAAGGCGCGUAGGCGGCCUGAUAAGUAGGGGGUGAAAUCCUGCGGCUUAACCGCAGGGCUGCCUUCUAAACUGUCAGGCUGGAGCACAGUAGAGGCAGGUGGAAUUUCCGGUGGAGCGGUGAAAUGCGUAGAGAUCGGAAAGAACACCAACGGCGAAAGCACUCUGCUGGGCCGACACUGACACUGAGAGACGAAAGCUAGGGGAGCGAAUGGG